rnacentral:rRNA from 1 species
UGGGACAACGCCCGGAAACGGGUGCUAAUACUGGAUAUUCACUGGCCUUCGCAUGGGGGUUGGUGGAAAGGUUUUUCUGGUGGGGGAUGGGCUCGCGGCCUAUCAGCUUGUUGGUGGGGUGAUGGCCUACCAAGGCUUUGACGGGUAGCCGGCCUGAGAGGGUGACCGGUCACAUUGGGACUGAGAUACGGCCCAG